rnacentral:rRNA from 1 species
GAACGCUGGCGGCAGGCCUAACACAUGCAAGUCGAGCGGUAGCACAGGGAGCUUGCUCCUGGGUGACGAGCGGCGGACGGGUGAGUAAUGUCUGGGAAACUGCCUGAUGGAGGGGGAUAACUACUGGAAACGGUAGCUAAUACCGCAUAACGUCGCAAGACCAAAGAGGGGGACCUUCGGGCCUCUUGCCAUCAGAUGUGCCCAGAUGGGAUUAGCUAGUAGGUGGGGUAACGGCUCACCUAGGCGACGAUCCCUAGCUGGUCUGAGAGGAUGACCAGCCACACUGGAACUGAGACACGGUCCAGACUCCUACGGGAGGCAGCAGUGGGGAAUAUUGCACAAUGGGCGCAAGCCUGAUGCAGCCAUGCCGCGUGUAUGAAGAAGGCCUUCGGGUUGUAAAGUACUUUCAGCGGGGAGGAAGGCGAUAAGGUUAAUAACCUUGUCGAUUGACGUUACCCGCAGAAGAAGCACCGGCUAACUCCGUGCCAGCAGCCGCGGUAAUACGGAGGGUGCAAGCGUUAAUCGGAAUUACUGGGCGUAAAGCGCACGCAGGCGGUCUGUCAAGUCGGAUGUGAAAUCCCCGGGCUCAACCUGGGAACUGCAUUCGAAACUGGCAGGCUAGAGUCUUGUAGAGGGGGGUAGAAUUCCAGGUGUAGCGGUGAAAUGCGUAGAGAUCUGGAGGAAUACCGGUGGCGAAGGCGGCCCCCUGGACAAAGACUGACG